rnacentral:lncRNA from 1 species
UUAAACUCUUUUACGAGUGGUUUCAGACAGAUAUGCUUAUGAAUUGUACUCUGUACAUCUUGCAUGUAUAAGUCGGGUAUGAAAGGCUGAUCACCUUCAUUACCAGUUGGUCCAGAUAUACUAUUGUUCCUGUUCAAUACUUGUUCAGUCAAAAUUUUGUUCAUGCUAAUUCACAAAUACAUUGUGAAGGAUAGCCAGCUUAUUAUUCAAACUCUUUCCAUCAUGAUAUAUCUUUACCUUGUUUUUAAACUUGCUGG